AACUUGAUGGUAAAUAGAUUGAAAUUGCAUAGCUUACCUAGACCUGAGUUAGAAAAAAAAAUGAAUAAAUGCAGAAAAAAGAGAAAUGUUACAGAGUCACAACCUUCCAUGGGGGCUGGUUUCCCUUUAUUUGAAAGGAUUCUGAAUUUACUCCACAGCUUAUUCAGCUGGGACGAGGGUGUGGCCUUGAGCAACUGUAAUAGAUAAGGCAAGAGAAGAGGAAGACAAGACUAUUGUCCGGUGGGUGGCAGAGAAGAACCAGGAAGAGGAGAUGAGGGAGUUGGAGAGUCUCUGCACCUUUGGUAGGACGCAUAAGUUGGAAACGCCUCUAUCCUGCCUCUCCCUACCAUGGGCUUCUUGCUCCUCUGCUGUGUGGCCUUUUGCCUCUUGAGAACAGGCUCCAUGGAUGCUGACAUUACCCAGACCCCAGGGAACGGGAUUAUAAAGACAGGAAAGAGCAUUUUACUGGAGUGUUCUCAGACUAAGGGUCAUAACUCUAUGUACUGGUAUCGACAAGACCCAGGACUGGGGCUACGGCUGAUCUACUAUUCCUACAUCAGUGAUAUUAAUGAAGGAGAGGUCUCCAAUGGGUACAGGGCCUCUCGAGAGGAGCUGGCAAAAUUCUCCCUGUCCAUAGGGAGAGCCAUCCCCAACCAGACAGCUCUCUACUUCUGUGCCAGCAGUGAUUUGCACAGUGCUUGCUGGCCACCUGCUCUCCAUACGGAAAGACAGACACAUUUGCUCAGACGGGCACAGAAGGCUUCCUCCAUGUGGGACAUGGGGAUCCUUAGUAGUCUGAGUAGUUCUACACUGUGUGAGUCUCAGUCUGAGCUUAGGGCCACAUAGGGUCAAUG